GUCGAAGAAGCUACUUUAAUUCAAAUCCGGAACAGUUGCCGAGUCGACUCCAGAAAAGCAUGAGUCGACUCUCGCUACAGCCGAGUCGACUCCUGAUCGCGCGAGUCGACUCCGACCCCAACGGACACAUUGUCAGGUUGUGCAGAGUGUGCAGAACGGGCAGAAAAAGGUGUCUAACGGCUAGUUUCCGUGGGGGAUGGCUUAAAUAGCCACAGAGGACUGUAGCAAGGCAGAGAACUACCAUUCCAUUCAAAGAGAUCAAGCAUUUAUUCUCUGCAAACUUGCUUUCAACGAAAAAGAAGGAAGAGCGCCAUUAACUCCAUCCAACAACCUCUUCCCAGCAUUGAAAGAAGUCUCCUCCUGCAUUCAAGUCGAUCAGACGUUCCAGAGGAGACUCAAAGUUCAAGAAGCCUUAUUCUACUCCAACGCAAAAGUGUUU
rnacentral:lncRNA from 1 species